rnacentral:rRNA from 1 species
UACAGAGGUCUCAAGCGUUGUUCGGAUUCAUUGGGCGUAAAGAGCGUGUAGGCGGCUUGAUAGGUCCGCUGUGAAAACUCGAGGCUCAACCUCGAGAUGUCGGCGGAAACCACUUGGCUAGAGUCCGGAAGAGGAGAGUGGAAUUCCUGGUGUAGCGGUGAAAUGCGCAGAUAUCAGGAAGAACACCUAUGGCGAAGGCAGCUCUCUGGGACGGUACUGACGCUGAGACGCGAAAGCGUGGGGAGCGAACAGG